GGGGUUUAAGUUGAUUAAGAUACAACUUGAGUGCUUUGAGAAAUGACUUAAAGUAACCUAAGAUUAAAUUCCUUCAAAGUAUAAUUCCCAAAUUACUGAAUUGGUUUGAUAGAUUUAUGAUUCAUUGAAAUGUGAUCUCCUAAUUCUGGAAUGCUUUUAUUAUUUGACAUCUUCAAUUUAGUUAAUAUGCUUUUAUUUACUUUCUAGCUAUAAUUAGUUUAAGUUACAAUUCUCUAUUCGAAUUUAGUAGUCAAGAUAAUUACAAUUGCUAUGCUAUUUGGUAUUCAAACCAAAUUUCUCGUAAGAACAAUACUUUACUCACUACUUUAUUAC
rnacentral:misc_RNA from 1 species